CUGCAAUGAUAGGACCUUUUGUUGUCCCUAAGCCUUGUAUUCCAAGCAUUCCAGCACCUUGCUAUUUUCCUCCAUGUUGUCCCGUCCCUUGUACACCAUGUCCACCUAAAUGUCCCCCUGUCGUUUGUCCUCCAAAAUGUCCCCCAAAAUGUCCUCCUCCUCCUUGUCCCUCUCCGAACCAAACAGCAUUAACUAGAACAACACAAUUUCAACUUCCAAGUGGAUCGUCAAAUGGUAAAAAUACUUUUUUGAACAGGAGCAAGCUUAAUUCAAUAUGUGCUUACAAUGUUGUUGGUACUAAACCAAAGUUGACAUUGGGCAAUGUAAAAGUUAUGAAAAAAUUCGAACCAAGAAAAAAUGCAGCAGACAAUAGCACUAAUGCAAAAAAAGGCAUAACGUGUGAAACAGUUGUAACUUCUAAAGGCCGUGUUACUGUGUGUAAAUGGGAUAAUGAAGAGCUAAAUGAUCCACAUGAUGAAGAAAAUUUGUAUAGCAACAAUCAUGUAAAAAAUUACAAAGUUCGGCCCAGUAAGUCAGACAGUAUGUUAGCACAAGCUAAAAAUCAUAAUUUCAAAUGUUUAACCUAUGAAAUAAAAGAUCCUAUAACUAAAAUAAACAAAAAAUCUAAAAUUUGUUUUGAAAACGGACAUGACAUUGUAAACUAUCUAUCUAAAGGGGUUCAAACUCAGUUAGUAUUACCUUUAAAAUUGACUAAAAAUUCCCCAGUGCACAAUGAGCCAAAACAUCGGUUCAGUUGUAAAAAUAAUAAGCCACAAAUAAAUAAAAAUACAUCCCCGAUACGUAAAUCCAUAGAGCCACAGAAAAAGGAGAAAACAUGGUAUUCACAUCACAGAAUGGAUUCAGUUGAAACUCAAACUAAUAGAUCCUACAAUCCACAAAAAAAUCGUUCUUUUCCACUACCAGCAAAAACAAUUAGGAAAAGAUAUAUCUAUGUACCUAAAUAUAUUCGUAACAAAGGAAAUUUAAAUGAAAUAAUGAACAUGGAAAACAAGUCACAUUCUUUGAAUUCUGACAAAAUGAAGCCGAAUGUAGACUACCUUACUGAUAUAAAUAAAAUCAACAUAGAUGGGAAUAUUGAAAGGAUACCUCGAACAGUGUCUACUGGAAUGAAUACUGACAUUUCUAAAAUAACACGAACUGUAUGCACAUACACCAAUGAGAAUGACUGUGCUAAUAAAAAAUCCUCUAAUCCUAGUGUAGGAUUGAAUUUAAGAGAAAGUAAUUCAGUUUACAAAAUAAAUAUCACAACAUCUGCUAUUAAAGAAAAGGAAUCAAAUAUUCCUGUAAAAAAAAACAAGAGUAGUAUGCAAAUGCAAAGAAUAAAUUCACAAAUGAACAAAGAGAAAGAAAAAUAUGUGGUUAAGAUGUGUGGUACUGAUCCUAUUACCAAGGUAUCGAAGGGCACCCAAAUGUAUUUUCAAAAAAUUGAUAAAGUUCCUAGUAAGACGUUAAUACCGAAUGUUGUUUUUGAACCACCGGCUGAACAAAGAGAAAAUGAAAAUCCUUUACUAAACACAAUCAAUGGAAUAAACAACUAUAUUUUAGAUUAUCUUAAACCUAAAGGAGUCAAUGAAAAUAAAGGAGAUCAAAAGUCUAGAAGUAAAUCGAUGCAUAAAAUACAAUUUGAAUGUUCGCUAAAUGACAGUGGCAAGCCGCAUUGUUAUGCUGUCCAUAGAAACCUAAGUCCAACUUCAGAAAUAACUCUUCCAUCUGUCGUUACUCCAGAACAUACAAUUAAAAAUCAAAUUAAUAAAAAUGAAGCCAAUAAAAAAUUUGGAAACAUCAUUUGCCAACAUUUUAUACAUAAAGACCUAAAUGAGAAUUUUAUUCAUCCAAAUAGCAAUGAAAACAUCGUUAAUCUAAUUAAUGAUCUCAACACUAGAAAAGACUCUAAGAAAAGUUUAAAAGAUGACGUUUUGUUAGAAACAAAUAUUAUUGAUGGCAAAAAAGAUGACGUUUUGUUAGAAACAAAUACUAUUGAUGGCAAAAAAGAUGACGUUUUGUUAGAAACAAAUACUACUGAUGGCAAAUUAAAAGAAAAUAAUGCAACAAGUCUAUGUAAACCACACGACACUGUUAAAUUCUGCUGUCCCGGGUGUUCAAGUGACUAUCAAUGUUGUAAAGAAACAACCCAACACAAUAAAAAUGAAGAAAAAAACACUGAUGAAGAUUCUGCAAAACUAAAAGAGAAAAAAUUAAGCAGUGGCAUGGAUAAUAUCUGUGUUAACGUUGAUGAUAUAACAAAAAAGCAAUUGUCCUUGUACACAGCUUGUUGUUCUAAAAAUAAAAAAGAAGAAAAUAGACCAUCAGUAGAUAGCACACUAUACAAAAAUGGCCAGAAGUUUAGAUUAGGGAACAAGGCAACAAAUACAUGUAGUGGAUGUUCUAUUUUGCCAGCAAAAAAAGUUAACCGUGGUUGUUCAGCUUUUGACGUUUCACCAAAGACUAAUACUUCAACAAGUAUGUCUCAAAAUGACAUGUUUCCAAAAGAAAACGUACAACCUAUUAAUGAGAAUAAGCCAAAUAAUAAAAUUUUUGAUACUUUAGACUUCACUGAUGGUUUAACACACCUCUUUUUGAAAUACCUUAAUCAAAAUGCAAGGCGAUUGGUUUUUGACAGGAUUAAUCAAGAUAACUCUAUUUCUUCAAUAGAAGACAUAAUGGAAAACAUUCUUAAUUCAGCUUUUGUAGUUAAAACAAAAGUACAAAAAUCUAAAAAACUAAAAAAAGAGAGCAAUGCCUACAAAAGAAAGCGGAAAUUACUUAAAAUAAAAGCGAAAUUAAAACAACAAAAAAGUAGGAACACCAGCAAAGAGAGUACAGAUUUUAAUCAAUCAAUACAAUCAAUCAAACAAAGUAGUGCAGAAUUAAAUAAGGAACACAGAAUUAAAUUAGCCGAAUGCAACUCUCACCAGUCUUCAAACAAUAAAGAGGUGGUCGCUAAGAUUUUGACAAAGAAUGAAUCACCAAAAGAAAAUAAAAGCGAUUUCAUACAAAAUGUUUCCAAGCAACAAGCAUUGUGUGAAACCGAAAUAAUUAAAACUCUUAGUGAAAUGACUAUUAGAUCAAGUAAAAAAACAAUCCAAAGCAACGUCAGCCAGCCGAAUUCUUCAACUAAUAAAUUUUCUAAUAAUCGCAGAAGUCAAAUUAAAUUAAUUACAUCCUUACAACAGCUAUAUGGAAAACAUUUAUCCUCUGAUCAAAAAAAGAGAGAAAAGUCAAAAAUUUCUAGUUCAAAUGAUAAAACAUUAAAGGAAAAAAUAAAAAGAGAAGAUACUGAGCAUGAAGCUGCAAAAUUAGAAAAUACACCUAAACCAGAAACAUCUAAUUUAAAUACCAAUGCAACAAAUCUUUCAGAAAAUAUUAAUAUGUAUUAUUCAUCCCAAAAAGAGUGUUUGUCAAUGGAUCAGAACAGCGUAACUGAUUAUGACAAAAAACAAAUAGAAACUUUCAGUUUCAAUAGUCAAAACGUGAGUAAUAAUGAGAAAUUACCAGACAGAGGACAAAGUGAUUAUAUUAGUGAACAUAUUUUUGGCAGAACUAAACCAAACUAUUUUUUCAACAAUAUUUUAGAUCAUUUAUUAUCAUCAAAUAAGCCAUCACUGAAUGAAUUUAAUAGAGAUGAAUCUAGCGAUAACUGCCAGUUUAGCAUUGCGGAUGGCAAAACUUGUGAUGAAGACAUCCAAUUGUCAAUCCAAAAAUUAGAAUCUUAUGGAGAAACUGCAGACUUAAAGAGUAAAGUAAGUAUAGAAACUGAAAAAGGCGAUAAAGGAAUAUCAAUUGAAAACAACAAAACUCAAACAAACGUCAUCAGCCAUGACAAUGUUCCUGUACACAAUGUUGGCCAUAAGGACUGGCAUAGUCCACAAAUGCCUGGUGCAUUUAAAAAAAAUGAAACACUAACAACUUUUACGGAAAGAAACAUAUGUUCCCAAAGAUACCUGACAGAUACAACAAAGACCUGCCAGGAUGACAUUAGAAAAAUUGACGUAUUGGUUAAAAAACAAAAAACCGAAGGAUUAGAACAUAGGAAAAACAAGCAUGAUGAAAAAAUACAGAUUAAUACCAAUUUUGCUGAGGUAUCAAAUGAAAAUGAUUAUUUUAUAAACAAGACACAUAAUAUUGUGGAUGCUAAGAUUCAAUAUGUCAGAAAUGUUAAUGCUGGGCAUAAAAACUGGUGCAAUAACAUAACUACUAAAAAAAGGGAUGAAGAUUUGGAUCAAAAGCCAGCUGUAGUUACAGAGAAAAAGACACUAAAUAAUAAUGAAUCAAUGGCCCCAACAUUAAGCCAAGAAAAUAUUAAGUCAUCCAAAUCCAUUAUCUCAAAUGAUAAUAAAACUAAAGAAAGUGACACACAAAGUGGUAUCCAGUCAAGCUCAAAACCCCAAAAAUCUUCUCCCACAACGCCUUUCAAUCAUUCAAAAGAAGUGCCAGUUAAUUCUAAAAUUUCUAUUGAAGACAAGUUAACUAUAAAAAUAGACAAUUUGGAAAAAGAUAUUCUCAACAGUAGUUACCUUCAAUUAGGUGCAAAUAGCACACUUGUUAACCCUGGUAAUAACGACAACACACAAACAAGCUCCUACAAGCAAAGCAACACAUUAUCAGAAAACACUUCUCAAAAAAAAGUUACCGAUAGAGAAUCCCCUUUAUCUGAAAAGAGGCAGUUAGACCGACCAUCAGAAUCAUCUUUUCAGAACAGAACAUCUCCUCCUUUGCAAAAUGAUUAUGAUUCAGAAUUAUACCUGACACCUUGGGUUUUAGGUGUCCCAUAUAAUACUGCCAAACCAUAUAAAAAUGAAGAUUUAAAUGAUAAAGAUGCAAUGACAAAUAUAAAUGUAACCAAGUAUCAUGAUAAAAAUAGUAUUCAGAACACAGAUAUCGUCAAUACGGGUGAUUGUACAACUGGAAUGACUGGGUUCACGAAUACUAAUAAAAACGACAUCAAGCAAUCAAACAUUGUACAUGAAACCACAAAAAUAACCGAAAUCAUAUACAAUGACAGAGACAAAACUAAACACACAAACAUUGAAGAAGCAGAUAAACAUGAAAUGGCAAAAAUAAAUGAACUCAAAGAUAAUGAUAAGUUCUCCAAGCAAACAAAUAAUAGCAAUGAAAAAGAUGACUAUGAAAUAUCAACAAUAGGCAAAGUAAAAACUACUAAUAUUGUUACUAAUAACAGUGGUAGUAAUACAGAUAUGCUUAAUAUAACAGAAGUGAACACAAACACUGGCAAAGAUAACACAAAGGAAAAAACAAUUGCCAAUGAUACUGAUGAAUAUAAGACAGCAGGAAUGACUGAAAACAAACUAACAGCUAAAGAAGAAUUUUUAAAUAUUGAUAACGUAUCAGAUAAAAUGGAGUCUAAAUAUCCUAGUACUGAUAAAAUUACAAUACAUUCAACUGACAUAAUGAAUUUUCAUCAAGGUGUUACUGAAAAUGAAAAUUCUACAACUAAAAAUAACAAUUCAACAAGCGAUACAAAUCAAGACCACUUAAAAACCAAUGAAAUAGAGAAUGAUUUGAAAGAAACAAACCAGAGUUACAAUCAUGAAAUUGAUUGUGAAAUUUGCAAUCAGUAUAAGAAUGACCUCAAAUUUACAUUUAAGCACAAUAAAGAUCAGUCUGGAAAAGAUUCAAUUAAAUCACCGGAUAUUCAGCCCUGUAUUCCAGAAGAAAAAUUAAUGCUAAAACAGCCUUCAUCAGUCGGCAGCUAUGAACGGUUAGGAGAUAAAAGUAACCACUUCCUCGAGCAAAUUACAGCUGCUCUAGAAGCAGAAUGUAAAAAACAAGCAGAACAAAACUCUAACAAAUACAAGCACAAAUUCAAAGAAUUUCACUAUAAUAGGAAACGCCAAGAAAAUGACAAACAAGAAAAUGUGUUGCUUAAAACAUUUAAUAAAAACAGACUUAAUCCACACCAAAAUAAAACAAACGACACUUUGAAACAACUAAAUAUUGAUGUUUUGCACAGACAAGAAAACAACACAAUUAUUAAUCAGGUAAUUACUUCAACUAAAAAGACACCUCAAAUAUUCAUAAAAGAAAAUAAAGACUUAGUUGCUUGUGAGCCCAAGUCACAAAUAAAGGAAAAACAAUUAAAAAAUAAAAAUGAUUCCAAAAAUGAACAUCAUUGCAACCAACUUGCAUGCUUGGUUUGUAGUAGAGAAGAAAAUGAGAUUUUAUGUUUUCGGCCUUCAACAAGUAAAGCACCAACCAAACCUGGUCAAGAUUUUUUUGUUUCGUCUAAUCAAUUGAACUCCCUGAAACAAAAUAUGCAAGAUGUCCAAGGUGAAUCAAAGCGUCAAUGUAAGAGUACAAAAUUAGAAAGUGAACUCACUAAUAUGGCUCAAGAUCGAUUUGUUCAUAGUCAUACACCAACAGUAAAAAUUGAAAUAAAAAACAACACAAAAGAACAAUGUAGAACUGAAAACGAUUAUGGUACUUACUACGCUCAACCUAUCGCAAAAUGGCAAGUCACUCCAAGUAUUGAAAGCAUUUUAAAAUGUACUCAAGGGCCAAGCCAGCACAAAUCAAAGAAGAAUGACAAAUUGAAUGGUAUGGAGAAAAAUACAAAAAUUAGAGAUGAGCAAAUUGCAAAAAGAAAAUCUUCAAAAAAGAAAACUGAACAACUUUUAGAUAACAUUAAAUUAGAGAAAAGGAAAAAGAGCCAUAAAAUUUCUAAUGACCAGGACUCUUUUUUUCCUAUAUUUGAGUCAGAAUCAUAUAAAAAUUUUGUAAGUACAAUGGUAGGAAGUGGUCAUCAACCUAAAUCAAAUGAAUUAAAUAUGCCAAAGUUGAGUUCUAAGAAAACUAAAAAUCCAAUUUAUUCUACAAUAACAAAGACCAAGACUCCUUCAUGUUCAUACAGUACUAGUUCAGCCAGCAGAAUUCAGCCAAGAGCAGAAGGAGAUUCAUUUCAACAGACAAGCACUUACGUGACAUUCCCAUGCUUUACAAUAAAUGAUCUAUUUUCAUUUUCAUUGGAUUCGACAGAAAAAAGUCAUUUGUCUAAGACAGCCAUCGACACAUAUUUGAAAUCACUGCAUGAGCUGUCAAGUACACUAGAUGAUCAGUUGAAACUAAUGAAGUUUGCUUUAGACGAAGAAAACCUAAAGCUCAUAAGCCAUUUUCAUGCUAAUUCUUCUUCUGGAUAUAGCAAAGAAAGAUCGCGGCAAUUGUACAUGCAUCUAGUUAGUGUUGACAAAUCUACAAAACAAAGAAAUCAAGAUUGUGUAAGAUCUACUAUAUUUUUAACGGAUGGUGUCUCUUCACCAAGAUUAGCUGAUUUUAGCCAGGCACAAUAUUCAAAAUAUGAUUCCAACUCUCAGAAAAGCAAUUCAAAAUACAAAGUUAGCAAAAGUACUAUGCUUUAUGUCCAAAAAGAGCUGUCUACUUUAAAAUCUCAAAUUGAUCAAACUCCAUAUUUACAUCUCCGUGAAGAGAUCAUUUCAAAUAAAUCACUUACAGACAUUGAGCAUAAAUACCUGAUUAAGUCAAUAGAUGAGCAACUAGAAAAACUCAAGUCUAUUGAGAAAGAGAUAGAUGAUCUUAUUCAUGAGUUGAAGUUUUAGCAUGUAGAAGGACAUUUACACUCUAAUUUUGACAGCUGGUUUACUUUCAGAGAAACUGCAAUUCAUAGUAUAGAGGGCGAUAAAGAUUAUUCGUUAAGUAAUGGACCAGCAGAAAAAAAUAAUUGUUUAAAAGUAGAAAGUAGUA
rnacentral:misc_RNA from 1 species